rnacentral:rRNA from 1 species
CCUACGGGAGGCAGCAGUGAGGAAUAUUGGUCAAUGGGCGGAAGCCUGAACCAGCCAAGUCGCGUGAGGGAUUAAGGCCCUGCGGGUCGUAAACCUCUUUUGCCGGGGAGCAGUGGUCCGGACGCGUCCGGACCGGGAGAGUACCCGGAGAUAAAGCAUCGGCUAACUCCGUGCCAGCAGCCGCGGUAAUACGGAGGAUGCGAGCGUUAUCCGGAUUUAUUGGGUUUAAAGGGUGCGUAGGCGGGCAUUUAAGCCGGCGGGCAAAUGUCGGGGCUCAACCGCGGCCUGCCGUCGGAACUGGGUGCCUAGAGAGGGCGAGAAGUAUGCGGAAUGCGAGGUGUAGCGGUGAAAUGCAUAGAUAUCACGCAGAACCCCGAUUGCGAAGGCAGCAGACCGGCGCCCUACUGACGCUGAGGCACGAAAGUGCGGGUAGCGAACAGGAUUAGAUACCCCUGUAGUC